AACGCGAAGAACCUUACCCAGGCUCGAAAUGCAGGUGGCGAUACCAGAGAUGGUAUUUUCCGUAAGGACGCCUGUAUAGGUGCUGCAUGGCUGUCGUCAGCUCGUGCCGUGAGGUGUUGGGUUAAGUCCCGCAACGAGCGCAACCCUUAUCAUUAGUUGCCAACACGCAAGGUGGGGACUCUAAUGAGACUGCCUAGGUUAACUAGGAGGAAGGUGAGGAUGACGUCAAGUCCGCAUGGCCUUUAUGUCUGGGGCUACACACGUGCUACAAUGGUCGGUACAGAAGGCAGCAAGACCGUAAGGUGGAGCAAAUCCGAAAAACCGAUCUCAGUUCAGAUUGUAGUCUGCAACUCGACUACAUGAAGCUGGAAUUGCUAGUAAUGACGUGUCAGCAACAACGUCGUGAAUACGUUCCCGGGCCUUGUA
rnacentral:rRNA from 1 species